rnacentral:tRNA from 1 species
GCGCCCGUGGCGGAACUGGCAGACGCGCCGGAUUUAGGUUCCGGUGGGAAACCGUGCAGGUUCGAUUCCUGUCGGGCGCACCA